GCGAGUGGCGAACGGGUGAGUAACAUAUCGGAACGUGCCUAGUAGUGGGGGAUAACGUGUGGAAACGCACGCUAAUACCGCAUACGACCUACGGGUGAAAGCAGGGGAUCUUCGGACCUUGCGUUAUUAGAGCGGCCGAUAUCUGAUUAGGUAGUUGGUAGGGUAAAGGCCUACCAAGCCGACGAUCAGUAGCUGGUCUGAGAGGACGACCAGCCACACUGGAACUGAGACACGGCCCAGACUCC
rnacentral:rRNA from 1 species